rnacentral:rRNA from 1 species
CCUACGGGUGGCUGCAGUGGGGAAUAUUGCGCAAUGGGCGAAAGCCUGACGCAGCGACGCCGCGUGGGUGAUGAAGGCCUUCGGGUUGUAAAGCCCUGUCGGGUGGAACGAACGAUCUGGCGGCGAAUAACCGCCGGGUGUGACGGUACCACCGAAGGAAGCCCCGGCUCACUACGUGCCAGCAGCCGCGGUAAGACGUAGGGGGCGAGCGUUGGUCGGAUUUGCUGAGCGUGAAAGGUGCGUAGGCUGCGAAAUCCCUCGCCGUAACCGAGGUCCCGCAGUCGAUACUGUCUGGCUCGAGUCUAGGAGAGGAAAGCGGAAUUCCCAGUGUAGCGGUGAAAUGCGUAGAUAUUGGGAGGAACACCGGUGGCGAAGGCGGCUUUCCGGACUAGUACUGACGCUGAGGCGCGAAAGCUAGGGGAGCGAACGGGAUUAGAUACCCGGGUAGUC